UGAGGAGGGGAUUAGGACACUAGGUGAGAAAGGACAGGCCUAGACAAUGAAGCAAGGGGCGAGUGGGUGGAUGGGUAAAACCACCUGCUCCUCAAAACAGCCAGGCUCUGAGAUGAAGCAGGAAUCUGCACUUAAACCGAGGCUGGAUCCAUCCUAGGGAUUCAAGCCUGUGUUGUCAAGCGAAAACAGAAAAGAGAAGGGAAUUCCACCUUUGCCCACUGAGAACACAUCUAUGCUGAGAACACAUCUACCCAACUCCUCUGUCACAACCCCUGUGAGAAGGUUCUGCCAUCUCCCAGCCCUGAAGAUUGUGAGGUCAUCUGACCACUUAUUACAUUGCUAAACAUGGCAGGAUGUCACCUGACUCGACACUAAGCUGCCCAUCAAUCAUCACAUCCCCUUUCUCCCACUUACUUUUCUAUCACCCCGUAGAUUCCCAACAGCUGUCCUUAAGUCCUCCAGGCUACAGAAACCACUCUUGAAACAAUAUGUCAGCAUACCAUUAGUGCCCUUUAACUCAUACCCUCACUUCCCAGCCCCUCCUCUGUGAACGAAGUCUCUCCUUACCUCUUCCUCCAGCACUAAUCAAUCUAAUGUUCCUUCACUCUUUUCUCCCCUCCCAGCUUCCCUCCAACCUGCACCCAAUCCCCCCAAAUCCUUUCUCCUCUUUCUUUGCAAUUCUCCACACCAAGACUGAACACUUGUCAGAAAUGGUGCUCCCCCUGGGCCCCUCCACACCUCCUGAAGCCCAAUCCCUGUCACUUCUUACCACCCCCAGCUCCCUGAUGGCCCUGGGCCUCCCUCCCGACAGCUGAGGCCCUUCCUGGAUCUCUACACGUCACCAAGCUAAGCCAGUGUUCCAAAAUAGUCUCCUGAACAAUGAUGACAACUGCACAGUUAUUUUGGAAGAACUUCCUGGCAGUGAUGGCAGUGGAACAUUGGAAACAGAGAUGAACAGGAGGUGGGAAGAGGAGGCUAAGUACAUGUAGGCCUAAAAGUCUCUGCCUUGGGAGAUUUUUAACAGUCCUGGAUGGAGAAACACAAAGACCCAGUGGAGUCUGCAUUUUCUAGUUUUAGUCAGCCAUUCUGGAAGCUGCGUCCUGGUAACCGCAGUGUCCCAGCUGUGAACUCCGGGCAAGUGUACAGCAUCAUCUUCCAUUCACCAUGUGGUUACUGCACUUCUCAUACAAACUACCUGCGUUACUCAGUUAUCCAGUAUCAAGGACUAUGCCACACUCCUUAGAGCAGAUGCAGGGCACUUAGAGAUUAAUAAAACAGGCCGAGCACAGCCUGUAACCCCAGCACUUUGGGAGCCUGAGAUGGAAGAACUGCUUGAGCCCAGGAGUUCAAGACCAGCCUCGGCAACAUAGUGAGACCCCCAUCUCUACUAAAAAUAAAAAAUUAGCCUUGCAUGGUGGCACCUUCCUGUGGUCCCAGCUACUUGGGAGGCUGAGAUGGGAGGAUCCCUUGAGCUCAGGUGGUUGAGGCUGCAGUGAGUUGUGACUGUGCCACUGCACACCAGCCUGGGCAACAGAGCAAGACUCUGUCUCAAAAAAAUUAAUUAAUUAAAUAAAAAUAAAAAUAAAACCCUUUUAGAGUUCAAGUCUUAAUUGCCAUAUGGCUUUGAGCAACUUAUUUUAUCUCACUGUGCCUCCAUUUCCUAGACCUGGAAACGAAAAUAAGAGAGAAUGAAAUUUAAACAGCUUCUCAGAAGAGUAUGUAAGUUAAGCCACAUAAAACAUAUAAAUAAAUAUCUGUCACUUAGUAGCCACUCAGCACAUGGUAAUUACAAAGCAUGGUGCCAUAAGAAGUUGCUGGGGAGGCAGACAUGUAAAUGAAUGCAGAAAAUAUAUGAGGAAUACUAAAAUACAAAUUAAAGUGUCCUGUGGCUUUUUCAUCCACAUAGAUGAGUGUCAAAGCUACUAUCUCUCUGGGAGGAUCAUGGCAGACAGGAGGCAGGUCUAGAUUGCAGCUCCCACUCAGAUGGACAGAGCAGCAUGUGGAGUAUUGCAUCAUGAACUUUUGCUCCAGAAUGACUGCAGGAAGAAAUCAGGAAAGCCAAGAGAACCCACAGACCCUCUGAGGGAAGUGAAUUGCUCCUGCAGGACCUGGGAGACACCCCAAACACCAUGAGUGCCCAAACUAUGGAAGUCGGAAAGGGGCAUCGUUCACCCCCAAACACACAACCUCACUGGGGAACCGCAAGAUCUAGAUCACUGGAGAAGAUUCUGACAUUACCUGGAGCUGAGUCAAUUUAGAGAGCCGAGUGAAAUGCAGGGGUAGAGGAAGCAGUGGGAAAAUCCCUGUGGGCUCUCUGGGUGACCUAGCAAUCCAUUUCUGCCUUGCCUCCCAGGGGUCAUUGGGGAGGGCUACCAGAGGCACUGGGAAAAGGCCACAGGGAGAAGGAAGCCUCCAGCUGAACUUUGUAACAAUUCCAACUGAACAAGAAGUCUCCUGGCCAGAACUACAGGGAGGGCGUGAAUCCUGUGUGCAGACCACAGGCAGGGAAGCACGAAGGGUUCACAGCUCUCACAGCUGGGCGGCUGGUAGCCUGGGGCAAGCUCUCAGCCCUGCUUGCCCACUGCCCUGGACACAGACUUGGUGCUGUUGAGCAGGGAAUGGUGAGAGUGAGACUGGCCCUUUGGGUUGUGAGGGAGCUGGGUGAGGCCUGUGAUUGCCAGCUUUCCCUCACUUCCCUGACAACCUGCAUGACACAUCAGAGGCAGCAUAAUCCUCCUAGGAACAUAACUCCAUUGACCUGGGAACCACACCUCCAUCUCCCACAGCAGCCACAGCCACACCUCCAUCUCCCACAGCAGCCACAGCAAGACCCACUCAAGGAGAGUCUGAACUCAGACAUGCCUAGCGCUGCCCCCACUUAAUGGUCCUUCCCUACCCACCCUGCUAGCUGAAGACAAACAGCGUAUACUCUUGGGAGUUCUAGGGCCCCACCCACCACCUGAUCCCUCCCAUACUACCAUAGCUGAUGCUCUCUGGAAAGUGCCACCUCCCAGCAGGAAGCCAGCCAACUCAAAAACAGUGCAUUAAACCACCAAGACUAAGGACCCUCACAGAGUCCAUUUCACCCCCCUGCCACCUCCACCAGAGCAGGCAUUGGUAUCCACAGCUGAGAGACCCACAGAUGGUUCAUAUCACAAGACUCUGUACAGACAACUCCCAGUGCCAGCCCAGAGCCUGGUAGACCUGUUGGGUGACUAAAUUCAGAAGAGAGAUAAUACUCACGACAGCUCAGAUCUCAGGAAGCCACAUCCCUAGGAAAAGGGGGAGAGUACUACAUCAAGGGAACACCCUGUGGGACAAAAGAAUCUGAACAACAGCCUUGAGCCCUAGACCUUCCCUCCGACAGAGCCUACCCAAAUGAGAAGGAACUAGGAAACCAACUCCGGAGAAACAAGAUCUUAUAUUGGACACUGAUUCAUAGCAUAUACAGCCUUCUGAGGAACUUCACUCCACCCCUGCAAGAAAUUGCCACCUAGCUGAUGUCAUAACUGAGACUUCAAAAUGCUAUUCCACUGUUUUAUCAAGCCAAUUGCUUCAGGAUGAUGGGGAAGAUAAUCAGACCAGCAAAUUCCACGAGCAUGGGUCCGUUGCUCUGUUUCUUUUGCUGUAAAGUGAGUUCCUUGAUCAGAAACAAUGCAAUGUGGAAUACUACAAUGAUGAAUAAAGCAUUCUAUAAGCCCAUGGAUGGUAGUUUUGGCAGAAGCAUUGUGUGCAGGGAAGACAAAACAAUAUCCAGA
rnacentral:lncRNA from 1 species